GUACCGCCUGCCCUGUGGAAACCCUAAACGGCCGCGGCAUAAAACCGUGCAAAGGUAGCACAAUCACUUGUCCCUUAAAUAGGGACCCGUAUGAAAGGCAACAUGAGAGAGGACCUGUCUCCUAAGACAAGCCAAUGAAAUUGAACUGCCAGUACAAAAGCUGGCAUUUACAAGCAAGACAAAAAGACCCCAUGGAACUUUAACCAACUAUUAACAAAACUUAAUUUUAGGUUUCGGUUGGGACAACCAUAGAAAAACUAAACUUCUAAACUUUUACAAGACCAACAAGUCUAUUAUACUCACCUUGACCCAGUCAAACUGAUCAAUGAAAUAAGCUACCCUGGGGAUAACAGCGCCACCUUCUUAAAAAGUUCAUAUUAACAAGAAGACCUACGACCUCGAUGUUGGAUCAGGAUACCCAGACGGUGCAGCAGCUGUUAAAGGUUCGUUUGUUCAACGACUAACAUCCUACGUGAUCU
rnacentral:rRNA from 1 species